CACCACCACCGAAAUAGAUAAAUGUGAUUUAAAAACAGAGACACAUGUUAAAUUUCUAUGGCAAGGAGGCUUUAAGCCUGUCCAAUACAACUACAAGUGUGGGGAUGGAAGCGUAAAUUAACUAAGAUUAAAGGGAGCUAAAAGUUCAGACGCACAGCUCAGCACACAUGAGGUGUUCCGUGUCCAGCAGAUAUAGAGCUCUUCCAUCACCACGGAGAGUUCUAUUAGACAGCCAGGGAACUAUGGAUGAAUCUGAGGCAGAGAAAACAGUAGAAGCAGAUCUUUGGAAACUUGAAAGACCAGCCAUGGCUGUUUCUCCUUUCACACUGUCUUCCUGAGUGUGUGCAGGGCUCUAAUUUCACAGAUCACGAGAACUCCCUGUGAGCACUGAAGUGUAGGUUUGGGAACGGUGGCAAGUACCUCUGCCUGAUAGACCACAUGGCUGCUUCCUACAGGCUUUUACAAGAAGAGAAUUUCUGUUGUGUGGUAGAAGAGGGAGUGCGAUCCACCUGGUAAUGACGAUCAUCUUGGGCUUUAACCUUCCAACACUUCUAGGCCGCACUUCAGCUGGCCCACCAGUGUUCCAAAGACCUGGAACAGAACUCAGAAAUACGAGAGGCCCUCUCUUGUGACUGGGUACUGUCAGUGUGUCCUGAGUCUGUGCCGGAGUGCCAGAGACUGCAGCUGUAGCUGCCUUCAACUGACUAAUGCAGGUGACAGCUGCUGUGCUCAGAUGAAGCCCAUGGACAGCGUGACUGGGGGCUGACACAUCUGCGUAUCACUGACACAUGCGGCUUAGAGAAGUUGGGGACGUGCUCACCAGCCUAAAUAUAUCACAUGCCAAAGAUCACAAGUGGCCUGCGCUGCUCCUGUGUACAGCUCAACCCUCCCUCCCUACUCAACGGCUGGAGACUGCCUGGUGCUUACUUCUCGCUGAACACCCGAAGUCCCACUUAAAGCUCCGCGGUGUAAUUGUCUUCAAGUUUUUGCAAACAUGUAACUGCUUCUCCUCCACCAUCCGCACAAUCUACAGAACUGUUUCCGCAGACCCCAAACUCACCCAUGAUCCUUUGCAAGAAACUCCCUUCCCUAUUUCCAGCCUCUCACAAUCACUAGACACUUUGUUUCCUUAUAGUUUUGCCUUUGCAAGAACGUUGUAUAACUGGAAAUGUUCCAUGUAAUAGCUUUUAAGUUCAGUUUCUGCCCUUCAAAUAAUGCAUUCCAGAAUCUCCCAGGUUGUCGUUUUUUUAUUAACAAUAAUAUUUCAUUGCGUGGCUACACUACAGCGUUUUUGUUUAUGCCCUCAUCAUGGGACAUUUGGGUAGUUUCCAGUUCCUGGUAAUUACAAAGGAAGCUGUGGCAAGCAUUUGCACACAGGUUUAUAUAAAUGUAAGUUUUCAUUUCAUUUAUGUAAAUACCUAGGAGUCAGAUUACUAACUCAUUAUGUUUACAUUUUUAAGAAACUGCCAAGCUGUUUUUGAAACUCAUGCUGUUUUUGUUUUCACCAUUGAUGUAUGAGAGCUCAAUUGUUCUACAGUUUGAACAGCGUUUAGCUCUGAGCCGUUCUAAUGGUGUUUAGCUAUAGCCUAUUGUUUUUUACAUGUGUUCCCAUGCAGGGGGAUGAUGCUCAGUAUCUUCAUGUGUUUACUUAGAGUGUGCAUAACUUCUCUGGUGACAUAUCUGUCUGUUUGUUUUAUAGAUUAUUUGCUGUCACACUAAUAAAAAUAUUUCAUGGUUUUCUUUAA